CCAGGGCCGGGGAAAGAGAGAGAGAAUGAGUUUGAAGUUCUGCAUCAAAGUAAGACUUCACCAGACAGUGUGAACAUCUGAGAUUUCUCAGCCUUCCGCUUGGGGGAGGAUUAGUCUGGAGAAAUGUGCAAGGUCACCCUUUGAGUGUGAUCUCUCACUUUUGCAAGGAAAGGGAUGCAUAACCUUUCUACUGAUUUGAAAACAGCCUUUAAGGUAUUCACACAUGACCAGCUGCCAGAAACACGUUCCCUAUGAGCUUCGCUAUAUCACUGUUACUAUAGGCUGUAAUGUUUUCUAGGCAUUUUCUGUUCUGAUACUGCUAAAAAGUCAUUUUCAUUUCUCCCAGCCCUCGUCACAGUUAGUGUCAAAUUACUGCUUGUAGAGCCAUUGUAAUGCAAACACCAUUAAUAUCUUUUUGACCCAUUGCUAUGUCACACCGUUCUGGAUAGCACACAGACAUAGUGUUGCUCAAUGAUUGGAAAGAGAAGAUAUACAAACACACCAAUGAUUAACUUAGUAAGGCGCAGUUCUGUUUUGGAUCUAACCAACUGCCCAGUGCCAUUUUGGUUUAAGAGAAAAGUAGCACGAUGACAAGUGGAGGAAGAUUGUGGAAAAAUUAUGUUUCUCCAUCUAGAGAUAACCCAGGUCAUUAAAUUAUGGGGCAUCUCUAGGAUUCUUAAUAUAAACCUCACAUUAGCCUUAGUGUCUCAUUCAAGCAUAGGCUAUAGUGGGCUUUGGAACCAUGCUGGAAAAUUUUGUUUUGUAUUUAAACUCAGGGUGAGUUAAACUGGUUUCAAACAGGGCUUGGCUAAACAUAUAAAUGGGAACAACCUAUUUCAAAACCAUUAAAAAGAAACAACCAUACUUGCACAAGGUGGGAAUCUAGUUGAACAGUGGCACUGUGAAAGAAGUGAGGCUUUCAAAAGCAGUAUUAGACUAACCUGGCCUCAUUUAUAAGGAUGAGCCAAACUUUGGAUGAAACUAGUUUGGCUGGAAUCGAGUUUAACCUGAAUUCCAACCUCCUUUUUGAGCAUGGUUCAAAGCCCAGUGGGGAUAGGGCCUUUAAUUCUUCAGUUUGCAUUGUUAGAAUCUAGUGCAAAAUGUCAUCUUAUCACAGCAGUGCAGGCACGCAGUGUCCUACCCCCCCGGCAAAAGAUGGCCAUCAUCCUGUCAGAUCUCACAGAAGGAGUUUGCAGCAAUCAGCCAGAAGAGCUCAAAUUAAAGAAGGUUGUUAUUUUACCCCACUAGGAAAGGCACUCUGGCAGGGCCGGCCCACAACAUUUUGGCACCUGAGGCGGGGAGCUCAAAUGAUGCCCCCAUACCUCCUCGCUUGUGCCAAAACUUUGAAAGGUCUCAAUUCUCUGGGUCAUAGUGGUGACCCCCCACAGUCUGGUACCUGAGGUGGCCCUGCACUCUGGACCCAGCAGCCUCAGUCAACCCUCAGCUUCAUUCUUUCCUGACAUAGUCAUGGGACUGCCACUAGCAACACAUGCAGUUGGCUUUACUACAGCAGAAGACAGCUCUACUUACUCUCUUCCAAACUUUACCAAAAGGGGUGGUUAAAACUAACCAGUCACUGGUACUUCAGGGCUCCCUAGAGACACACUCUCCUCAAACCAAACACUGCUUCCCCAGAUAGAGAUGUUUUCUCCCUGCCCUCUAGAACAGCCCUCCCCAAUAGUCUAACAAUUUUCUCAAGUAACCCUCUUUCUGACUACAGGGUUCCAAUGUUUCCUUCACACCAAGGUACUUGUGAAGCCAGAUGUUUACUUCUGCUAUGAAACUUGCUAGUUUGUAGAGAAGUAGGAGGAGGCUUUCAAGGGGGUAAAUGGACAGAUAGGGACACAACUAUGCACUCAACUCCCAUUGUUCAGCUUUUGAAAAUCUUCACUCCCUGACCUUUUUUUGGGCCAAGAGUUGACUCCUGCACAGCAGGACUGGAGCAGGUACGCUCAAAGGCUUGGUCUUCUUCACAAAGGGCAGUGUUUCCAUAGUUGGAGUAAUUUGAUUAAUCUCUACCCUCUACCACUCUUUAAUUUUAUUACACUUGAGCAAUUCAGUGCUCUAUUGUGAGGUUGUGGCCUACAUGCAGUUAUAGCAGGGGUGAAUCUGGCUCCAUAUUGCUAACAGUUCUUUUGUAUUAUUCAUGUUCAAGUCAAGGUAUAGACCAACCUACUUCAUGGCUAGUUCAACUCUGGAUUCUGUUUGUUUCCUGCCAAAAGACUCCAUUAAGCUUAGCUAUCCAUGUGAAGGGCACAUGAAAGAAUCUUGGAACACUGAUCAAUCUCAAAAGGAACUUAUAAAUGCUACUGGGGAUGUUCUGUAUAAGCAAGAAUAUUGCAAAUUUGGGCAGUUACAUUGCAUUCCUCCCCCGACACACAGGCUUGACCAGCACUUCUUAAAACACAUGUUCAUAAUUCUUGUUUAUUGCACUGUUCCCUUAACAGCCCUCUGAAAGAAGUGCUAUUUCAAUGACCUUCCUUCUUUUGGUAGCCUGUUUCACCCUUUGGGCUGAGAGUUCUUGCUUGGACUAAAGGAAUACAAACUAGGGAUACGGAGCAAUCGAGUGCUUGUCUAGGAGUACGUCCAAUGUUUGAAUCUGUACUUGAGAUUAGUGACUUUGUGCUGAAGCCUAGAACAGGGCCUAGAAUGUCAUAUUGAGCAGUUCUCCGAGAUCUCCUUCAGUCCGCACA